rnacentral:rRNA from 1 species
UGGGGAAUCUUGCGCAAUGGGCGAAAGCCUGACGCAGCGACGCCGCGUGCGGGAAGAAGGCCUUCGGGUUGUAAACCGCUUUCAGGAGGGAAGAAGCGCAAGUGACGGUACCUCCAGAAGAAGCCCCGGCCAACUACGUGCCAGCAGCCGCGGUAAUACGUAGGGGGCGAGCGUUGUCCGGAAUUAUUGGGCGUAAAGAGCUCGUAGGCGGUCUGUUAAGUCGGGUGUGAAAUCUCAGGGCCCAACCCUGAAACUGCUCCCGAUACUGACAGACUUGAGACAGGUAGGGGAAGGUGGAAUUCCUGGUGUAGCGGUGGAAUGCGCAGAUAUCAGGAGGAACACCGAUGGCGAAGGCAGCCUUCUGGGCCUGAACUGACGCUGAGGAGCGAAAGCGUGGGGAGCGAACAGGAUUAGAUACCCCCGUAGUCC